UACGUAGGGUGCAAGCGUUGUCCGGAAUUAUUGGGCGUAAAGAGCUCGUAGGCGGUUUGUUGCGUCGGCUGUGAAAUCCCGAGGCUCAACCUCGGGUCUGCAGUCGAUACGAGCAAACUAGAGUGUUGCAGGGGAGACUGGAAUUCUCGGUGUAGCGGUGAAAUGCGUAGAUAUCGAGAGGAACACCUGCGGCGAAGGCGGGUUGCUGGGCUGACACUGACGCUGAUGUGCGAAAGCUAGGGGAGCGAACGGG
rnacentral:rRNA from 1 species